rnacentral:rRNA from 1 species
GAUGAACGCUGGCGGCGUGCCUAACACAUGCAAGUCGAGCGAACAGACGAGGAUCUUGCUCCGCUUACGUGAGCGGCGGGCGGGUGAGUAACACGAGUAUGACCUGCCGAGAAGGCUAGGAUACGUUAGGGAAACCUGAUAUAACAUACGAUCAUAUAGUGAACGUGGGGGUUCAUCAGACAAAGACGUAUUUGCUGACACUAAUUCAGGUUUCCGCGCCGCAUUAGCUAGUUGGUAGGGUAACGGCUUACCAAGGCAACGAUGCGUAGCUGACCUGAGAGGGUGAUCGGCCACACUGGAACUGAGACACGGUCCAGACUCCUACGGGAGGCAGCAGUAGGGAAUCUUCCGCAAUGGGCGAAAGCCUGACGGAGCCACGCCGCGUGUGUGAUGAAGGUCUUCGGAUCGUAAAACUCUGUUAUUAGGGAAGAACAAAUGUGUAAGUAUCUCUGCACGUCUUGACGGUACCUAAACAGAAAGCAACGGCUAACUUCGUG